AUUGAACGCUGGCGGCAGGCCUAACACAUGCAAGUCGAACGGUAGCACAGAGAGCUUGCUCUCGGGUGACGAGUGGUGGACGGGUGAGUAAUGUCUGGGAAACUGCCCGAUGGAGGGGGAUAACUACUGGAAACGGUAGCUAAUACCGCAUAACGUCGCAAGACCAAAGUGGGGGACCUUCGGGCCUCACACCAUCGGAUGUGCUCAGAUGGGAUUAGCUAGUAGGUGGGGUAAUGGCUCACCUAGGCGACGAUCCCUAGCUGGUCUGAGAGGAUGACCAGCCACACUGGAACUGAGACACGGUCCAGACUCCUACGGGAGGCAGCAGUGGGGAAUAUUGCACAAUGGGCGCAAGCCUGAUGCAGCCAUGCCGCGUGUAUGAAGAAGGCCUUCGGGUUGUAAAGUACUUUCAGCGGGGAGGAAGGCGGUGAAGUUAAUAACUUCACCGAUUGACGUUACCCGCAGAAGAAGCACCGGCUAACUCCGUGCCAGCCGCCGCGGUAA
rnacentral:rRNA from 1 species